UANUCAACCCACAAAAAAGAAGAAGAAAUAUGCAAAAAAAUCAUAUUUGGAGACAGGAAGACUGACAAGUUCGGUGAACUUGAGCAGACUUACGGAAAUUGAGGCGUCGUUAAAAAAAACAUUAAAUGCCGUUUGUAAUGAAGUUGAUAGAUUAGAUGUGGAAUGGUUGCAAUUGUGUAAUAUUGCUGUUGCACCAAAAAUAGAACCAACAGUAUUAGAUCUUCACUUAAGGACCUCUGACCUAAAUAACAAGAGUUUUGACAAUGUAGAUGUUAUCAACUCUGUUGCAAUUGAUCUUCAAUUAAAUAUUAAUAAAAAUAGCAACUUGAACGAA